AUGAGAAGCACAAGAACAGGGCAGUUGGAGCAAUUGUUUUGCAUGCCGGCGUAAACGAUAUAAGGCACCGACAAUAGGAAAUCCUCAAGGAUGACUUCACAGCAUUAAUUAAAGACACGAAGGAGAGGACUCCAUCGGCAAAGACCUUCAUUUCGGGUCCACUGCCUCUUGUCAGACGAUCAAAUGAGUACUACAGUCGUCUGCUAGGAUUAAACAACUGGCUGUAGGGCUUCUGUAAGAAUCAAGACAUCGGGUUCAUCAACAACUGGGACCUCUUUUGGGAAAGACCGCGUUUCUUCAAGCGAGAUGGCCUGCAUCCGAACAGUUUCAGCGCCCGGGUCCUCUCCGAAAACAUAUCUAAGGUAAUUCAUUUAUCUUGACUAUCUAUCUCUACUCUUAACCCCUUCCGAAAUGCUACUGCUGUGCUAGGACAUGAUAAUUGUUUAAUAAAAUCUUCCGUAAAAGUGCACAACAUUAAUACUAUAAUAACCAAUCUCAAUGCAUGUAGAAAAUCUAGGCAAUACGGCAUAAACACCAAUAAUUUAAUUAAUAUUACUACUUUAGAUGAACAAUGUAUUAAAACUAUAAAAACAGACUAUAGAUUAAACAAAAAAUACACACAGAGCGGCGCUAAUAAAAAUAACUUAGUUCCUGUUCCAAAUACCAAUAACGCACAUAGUAUUCAUCUCUGCCCCUCUGAAACAUUAAAUAUGGCACUAUUAAAUGUUAGAGCUUUAACUAAUAAGACGUUUUUUA